UUCAAGGCAUUAUUGGAAGCAGCACUCCUACUUCUUUGGCUUUUCUUAAUCCAGUGCAAGAAUGUUCAUGUACCGAAAUGGCUGCUUAGCUUCCUGGAGACCAAAAACUCAGUAUAGCUAUGAGCAUCCUACUAAUUUUCUGGCUUUGUCUGGGCAGUGCUCCUGGAAGGGAAGGAUCUGGUUGUAAGGGUCCUGCUGCAGGAUUGGGAUGCCAACCGAAGGGACCUCCUAGGUCGCUGGGCUCAGUCCCCCACUCUGACAGGCCCUACCUAAUACAGGUACACAGGUCAUGGACUGUCCCUUGUGCCAUCUGUGCUAUUGAGACAGUGUCCUCUGCAGAGGCUGUGCUCCAACAACAAAGCUGUUAGCUGGCAAAGGCAAGAAGAUGGGGGCCUCUGAAGUUGAGUCGUGCGAGAGACACAGAUCAGUUCACAAGAAAAGAUGUACAAUUCCUUCAGGUAGCAUGAAGACACAUGGCCAUCCUUGACCUAGAAUAAGGACAUGACGAGCAAGGACACAACAGCCUGCAGGCUUCUCUUUGUCAGCAUGAGAAAGCCUGGUAGCAUGGCAAGCCCAGAGUACUGACUCCUGACCGACAUAGGGGCUGGAGCAGAGAUGCCCAGCUGCUCUUUUGCCAGGGGAACAAGCCACAGCUCCACAGGAGCUUUAUGUACUUGCAUCUAAAGGGCACAACAAAGGACAAAUGGCCUUGUCGUAAAACCAAACAACACAACAGCAUAAAUACAGGGGAAUGGCAUGAAAAGAGCACAGAAUAUGAUCACAGAUUUCCCCCUUUGCAGGCAAACAUGUUUACAAGGGCCAGAGGAAGCCAAAAUUUUCACUGUGAGCCACUUUGGGCUGUCCUUCCAAAUAAA